AGGUGGGGAAAUUGGAACAGGGGAACAGGAGUGGAAAAUUAUGGUCUUACUUGGGCUGAAAAUAGCAUGAGGCAUCAGGGCAGGAACUUCACCCACAAGGCAAGUGGCCUGGGCACUGAGCAGCAAGGUGGGACGUGCAUACCAAGGGGCCAGGCAGUCCAACUGGGUUCCAGAGGUGCCCCUGGUUCACCCAGGGUCUCCAGUAUCCACCCCCACCUGUGCCUGCCACAGGAUUAGAUGGUGAACGAGCCCCUCCUGUGUCCUUGUGGAGUGGCUCGGGCCUGUGGGAAAGGCUCAAGGGUGGUUUGUAACAGGCAAUCAUUAAGAAAGCUCAAGAGGGGCCGGGUGCGGUGG
rnacentral:lncRNA from 1 species